GCGGGUGUCGUAUAACGGUUAUUAUGUAGCCUUCCCAAGGCUGAGACGGGGGUUCGACUCCCCCACCCGCACCA
rnacentral:tRNA from 1 species